UGUUGGGCGAAUCAGUAUCUAUAGUAAUAGUAUUGAGGCUGUUGCCAGGUCUUUGGGACCUGAAAAUCUUUUGCUGAAAGGAGCCACACUUAAAAAUACCAAGAAGAUAUAUGGAGUUGCUGUUUACACUGGGAUGGAAACCAAAAUGGCUUUGAAUUACCAAGGGAAAUCUCAGAAACGUUCUGCUGUUGAAAAAUCUAUUAAUGCCUUCUUGAUUGUNUAUUUAUUUAUCUUACUGACCAAAGCUGCAGUAUGCACAACUCUAAAGUAUGUUUGGCAAAGUACCCCCUACAAUGAUGAGCCUUGGUAUAACCAAAAGACUCAGAAGGAACGGGAAACUUUUAAGGUUUUGAAAAUGUUCACUGACUUUUUAUCAUUCAUGGUUCUCUUCAACUUCAUUAUACCUGUCUCCAUGUAUGUCACAGUAGAAAUGCAGAAAUUUUUAGGGUCAUUCUUUAUUUCAUGGGACAAAGACUUUUUUGAUGAAGAAAUUAAUGAAGGAGCCUUGGUUAACACAUCAGACCUUAAUGAAGAACUUGGUCAGGUG
rnacentral:lncRNA from 1 species